rnacentral:misc_RNA from 1 species
AACGUUUCCCCGGAAAUUUCCGUACCAUUUAUCCCCGUUCCAAAAUUUUCGGAAUUUUUGGUUGAAUGAAAAGCGCCUUUAGUUUCGGAUUUGAAAGAAUACGGAAUGCUUACACAGUAAGAAUUCAUUUUUUCUACAAGAGGUACAACCCAUUUCUUCUCAAUGUGACCACCUUACACAAAAAAUUAACCUCAAAAAUCUCCAAUCAAAAACAGCCGUUUACAUAUUUUCCAAAUAGAACUUAAAUAGAACGAAAUACUAAUCACUCAUAAAACAUAACAGAGAGUCUUUAAUAAAAGUAUGCGACGACCAAUCAAUCCUAACUCAAUUCACACACGACGCAAUAGCUUAUCUUGUACUAAAUCUAAUUAUUAAUUAAUGGCCAUGAACACGAGGUCGCUUCUUUCAAAGAAAAAGGAAAUUGUAAUCAGUUUUCAACAAUAUUGUUGGUAUUAACCUCGAGUCUUGAUGAUUCCAUAAAAAUUCUCUAUUUAGCGACGGAUCUUUAGCAGAUCAUUACUUUGAAAGAUCACAAUCUGAAGAACGUUCACCAACGAACAUGGAGCUGGAGACUGCAAGAGGAGGCGUUCAUACCACAAAUGGGGUGAGUUCCAAACAACCACGACGCACACAGGUCUAACAGUACUGUAUCUGCUUGCCCGUGUCCAACAUUUUUGCCGAUAUAAGCAUGUUACAUUUGGAAUAUUCAGGCUCGAAAAGUGGUAGAAAACUCGAGUUCCUUGUGUAAUCACUGCAUUAUCAUGCAUACACGUAACAAAAAGCACUGAGCUGUUCCAAAGACAUUGUGAAUUCUGGAUACAUAACAAAUCCCCUUUGUUCACAAGCCCUGCUUGGAGCAGGGCACUUGAAUGUUCUCUGUUCAAUACCAGAAUGAAUUAACUUGAGAUGUUAGCGACUAAGCCCUAGUUCACACGAGCGACAUGACAUCAUAACGACAUAAACAGUGUUAUGUUUGCAAUGUGAACAUCCUGAACAUAAUGACAUAAUAGCAUGAACAUAACGGCAUAGGGACAAAAAGCUGCUCUUUUCCUUAUGUCUUUAUACCGAUGUUCACUUUAGCGACAUAAGCGAGCAUAAGCGAUUAUGUCGUUAUGCCAUUAUGUCAUUACAUGUAUGUCGUUAUGUCGCUAGUGUGAACCAGGCCUAACUUUCAUUGAAACUCAAUUUCAGGAAAAACGGUCCACAAACAGCGUCACAAAGAAAAAGGUGAGACUUUCUUGUAACUUGUUUGGCUAAAUGAUACUACAGACUAGCUGCUCUAUAACAAACUAAUGCUAUACCAAGGGGUAUUAGAGUGGUUUUUAAAUGAGCAUCGUAAGACCAAAACCAAACCAAUUUCUUACCAAUCAGACUACUCAGCCAAUCUCAACCUGUAGUAAAACCAAAACCAAAACCAAAGUAAUUGUCUAAUUACUUUUGACACUCAAUUGAAAAUCGACUCACAAUGCCUAUAACUCCUCUAGCUAGUGUGAGUUUGGAGACUGAAAAUAUAUACAUUUUGCAACAGGUCAGGUGAACAUUUAAAUUGGUAUAAUUGUCCUUUUCACAGCUCAGUGUUACACUGACGCCAUCAUCCAAACAAAUGACGUUUUCCAAAAUAGUAUAUAACAUCUUGACAUACAAUGCCUCUGAUGUCACACUAACAAAGUAUUGCUCCACGUUUGCAAUAUCUUUCAUUGGAUCAAUAUUUUUGGCAACUGCCAGAUGAUUGCUUUGCGCGAAGCACAAGUCUCAGGGUAGCAUUUAAAUGUUGUUAAGUAAAGUGGUCUAACUCUGCAAACCUACUUAAUUAUCUAGGAUAUAUUUUUUAUCAUUUUGUACUGUAGUCAAGUAGUCUAGGUUUGAAAAAGUUCAGAAAACUCUAGAUAACACGAGAAACCUUCCCAUUACAUUUUCUGUCCCGGUAAUCUUGAAGUUGUACAUUUAUUUGACUUGCAAAUAAAACAAGUCAACUGGGCUGAAGUCUAUUAUAGAGAAACAAGUAAACAAAAUGGGCAAACAC